rnacentral:rRNA from 1 species
UACAGAGGUCUCAAGCGUUGUUCGGAUUCAUUGGGCGUAAAGGGUGCGUAGGCGGCGGUGCAAGUCCGAUGUGAAAUACCGGGGCUCAACCCCGGAACUGCAUUGGAUACUGCAUUGCUAGAGUACUGGAGAGGGAACUGGAAUUUACGGUGUAGCAGUGAAAUGCGUAGAUAUCUGGAGGAACACCGGUGGCGAAGGCGGCAUCCUGGACCGGCAUUGACGCUGAGGCGCGAAAGCUAGGGGAGCAAACGGG